GUUGCUGGGACAGUAUGCAAAGAGCAAACAGCAGGUAGCGGUUUGAAGUGCAUUUGCGAUAGCAGCAAAUACAUGGUUAAGGCCUCGAACACAGACACAUGUGAAUGUAUGACCGGCUACACGGGCCCAUCCAUUUGUAUAGGCAACGUUGGAAGUACAUGUGCUGCCAAUGCAGAAUGUCUCACAAACGGUUAUUGUGGGUCCGAUAAAAAGUGCGCAUGCCGUCCAACCCACAAAGGGGCAUCCGGGGCGAAUUCCUGCACAGCAAUAGUGAUUACUGGCACUUGCACUGCUAGUGGUGGAGAGUGCAGCGCAUUGUCUAAUUCUUACUGCAACAUUGGAGUGACCCCCUCGGUGUGUACGUGCGCUACGAUUUUUCCCACAGGCGCCAGUUGCACGGCUAAAGUCUGUACAGUCGGCGGAAGUGAAUGCUCCAGCGUUGAUGCCAAUACGGUGUGUACAAGUCUUGCAUGUGCCUGUAAAGCAAACUACGGAAUCUUCUCAUCUGGAACAAAGGCUACGUGUCAGCCAGGUGUGGGUGCUGUCUGCACUGCAAGCGGUGGUGAAUGUGCGAACCUACCCGGUGGCUACUGCAAUACUGCUGUAGCAGCUCCUGUGUGCGCAUGUGGGGCGAUCUACACUGCUGGAGCACUCUCGUCGUGCGCUCCAAAAUCGUGCGAACCGGGCUCUACCACCUGCUCAGAUUCGGAUGCCAACUCCGAAUGUGGCAAAGGAUACUGUGUCUGCAAAUCGGGGACUACAAUGGGCAAGGCUGGAAAAUGUAAUGCUUUUUACUUCUAUAAUCACAAAAUAAUAACCAGUUUAAAGGGACUGUCCAAUGGAUUAGUUUACUGAAUUUAGAAGGCUAUUAUUUUGAGAUUAAUUAAUAACAUUCGUUAAUUUGAACCAUAUGCAACUCAACCUUUUGCUAAAAACUACAAAACUAAAGAGCAACAGCCAAAUUGUAUUACGACGUUUGCGUCUACCUUAGGAAAUCCCUUUCUAUUUCUAUUUCGCGCUUCGUGUCACGUGAUUCAGACACAAACAAACAAAAUGGCGGAGGCUUCAAAAUCUACAAUGAGCGAACCAGCAAAAACAGAGGGAGAGAUGAGAAGAAGUAAACGCGUGAGACAGCCAUCUAAGAGAAUGUUGUUGUAUUUUCAGGACACAGAUUCAGAUUCAAGUCUACAGAAGGGUAAAGGAAAACAUCCUGCCAGAAAGUUGAUACAUUAGCAACAACAACUAAGGGGACACUGGAACACCAUAGCACGUCUGACAAUGAACCUGUACUGGCUUUUGUUCCUUCAAGUUCUGAUGAGUCUGAAGGAGAACCACUCAGUGAGAGAGAGGAUGAUUUAAGAACCAAAUGAAAGGGAAGGAAAAGAGGAAGUAAGAAAGUGAAAGGGCGCUGUUAUGUCCAUGAAGAACAAGAAAAAAAAUCUAAGGGAAUAAUUGAAAGUCUUACAGUCACCGAAAGGAAAGAAUUUAGAUAUUGCUAGAAUUUUAUCAAAAAGGAAAGAGAAAAAGGAACAAGACCUGUGUCCAGUCCGGAGUGGUGCUCUUGUCACAGAUGCCCACAAUACGAGAGAGUGGAAGAUCGAGUUUGCUGUGGGAUGGUCCCAGAAUUAUGCUCAAGUCAAAGACCUGAGAUGACUCUAUCGGUGCUGGAUAGGAUGACCCUCUACAGUCAGCAGCAGUAUCGACAAGAUGUGUUUUCCUUUUAUGCAGAGACACUAGAAGAUGUAAAUAAAUCGUUCAGACAUGCUGCAUACAGACAAUUUACCAUCUUAAUGCAUGGGAAACUGACUGCUGGAGACAGAAGAACUGUACCAGCAUGUUGUGUUAAAUUAAUAAGGGAGAAGUUUCCUAGUCUUUCAGGCCAGUAUACAGGCUUCAUACCAGGUGAAGGCCCAGUGUUCUAACAAUUUUGCAUAUUUAUGCCCCCCUUCAAAGAAGAGGGGGUUUAUUGUUUUGCACAUGUCGGUCCGUCCACCAGAUGGUUUCCAGAUGAUAACUUAGGAACGUUAAGGGCUAGGAUCAUGAAACUUCAUAGGUACAUUGAUCAUGACUGGUGAUCAUGACUGGCAAAUGACCCCUAUUGAUUUUCAGGUCACUAGGUCAAUGGUCAGUGACUAGAAACAGUAAAACGGUUUCCGGAUGAUAACUCAAGAAUGCUAACGCCUAUGAUCUUUAAACUUAAUAGGUAAAUUGAUCAUAACAGGCAGAUGACCUCUUUAGAUUUUCAGGUCACUAGGUCAAGGACACAAUGACUCGAAACAAUAAAAUGGUUUCCGGAUGAUAUCUCUAGAAUGCUUACGCCUAGGAUCAUGCAACUUCAUAGGUACAUUGAUAAUGACUGGCAGAUGACCCCUAUUGAUUUUCAGGUCACUAGGUCAAGCUCACAGUGACUCGAAAUAGUAAAAUGGUUUCCUGAUGAUAACUCAAGAAUAAUGAGGCUUAGGAUCAUGAAACUUCAUGGGUACAUUGAUCAUGACUGACAGAUGGCCCCUACUAAUUUUCAGGUCACUAUGUCAAAGGUCAAGGUCAGAGUGACAAAAAACGUAUUCACACAAUGGCUGCAACUACAACUGACAGCCCAUAUGGGGGGGCAUGCAUGUUUUACAAAAAGCCUAGUUGCUAUUCUUUUUCAUUUAUCAGACAUAGAACUUUCUUAGUUUUGAAUAUUUUUUGUUCUCGCCUCUUUUUUGAAACAUUUAUAUUUAUGCAAAGCAUUUGAAUUAUGCUUAAUCAUUUGAAUUUUUCAGUUCUAUGCAUUUUGUUUUGAAAUACCAAUUUGUGUGAAAUGUGCUAGUUUAUUAUUAAAACUUGCACAGCAGUUUUUACAUUUGUACGUUACUUGCGUGUCAUUUGGAAUGAAAUGCCAUGAGUACUCUGGAUUGUAAGAUGAAAGAAAUAAAAGAAGCAAUGACAUAUUUCUUAAGAAUACUAUGUAAAUAAACUAAUUGAAUAUCAAAAUUCAUUUCUUGUAUACUUAUUUUUAUUUU